GAUGAACGCUGGCGGCGUGCCUAAUACAUGCAAGUCGAGCGAACAGAUAAGGAGCUUGCUCCUUUGACGUUAGCGGCGGACGGGUGAGUAACACGUGGGUAACCUACCUAUAAGACUGGGAUAACUUCGGGAAACCGGAGCUAAUACCGGAUAACAUUUGGAACCGCAUGGUUCUAAAGUGAAAGAUGGUUUUGCUAUCACUUAUAGAUGGACCCGCGCCGUAUUAGCUAGUUGGUAAGGUAACGGCUUACCAAGGCGACGAUACGUAGCCGACCUGAGAGGGUGAUCGGCCACACUGGAACUGAGACACGGUCCAGACUCCUACGGGAGGCAGCAGUAGGGAAUCUUCCGCAAUGGGCGAAAGCCUGACGGAGCAACGCCGCGUGAGUGAUGAAGGGUUUCGGCUCGUAAAACUCUGUUAUUAGGGAAGAACAAACGUGUAAGUAACUGUGCACGUCUUGACGGUACCUAAUCAGAAAGCCACGGCUAACUACGUGCCAGCAGCCGCGGUAAUACGUAGGUGGCAAGCGUUAUCCGGAAUUAUUGGGCGUAAAGCGCGCGUAGGCGGUUUCUUAAGUCUGAUGUGAAAGCCCACGGCUCAACCGUGGAGGGUCAUUGGAAACUGGGAAACUUGAGUGCAGAAGAGGAAAGUGGAAUUCCAUGUGUAGCGGUGAAAUGCGCAGAGAUAUGGAGGAACACCAGUGGCGAAGGCGACUUUCUGGUCUGUAACUGACGCUGAUGUGCGAAAGCGUGGGGAUCAAACAGGAUUAGAUACCCUGGUAGUCCACGCCGUAAACGAUGAGUGCUAAGUGUUAGGGGGUUUCCGCCCCUUAGUGCUGCAGCUAACGCAUUAAGCACUCCGCCUGGGAAGUACGACCGCAAGGUUGAAACUCAAAGGAAUUGACGGGGACCCGCACAAGCGGUGGUGCAUGUGGUUUAAUUCGAAGCAACGCGAAGAACCUUACCAAAUCUUGACAUCCUUUGAAAACUCUAGAGAUAGAGCCUUCCCCUUCGGGGGACAAAGUGACAGGUGGUGCAUGGUUGUCGUCAGCUCGUGUCGUGAGAUGUUGGGUUAAGUCCCGCAACGAGCGCAACCCUUAAGCUUAGUUGCCAUCAUUAAGUUGGGCACUCUAGGUUGACUGCCGGUGACAAACCGGAGGAAGGUGGGGAUGACGUCAAAUCAUCAUGCCCCUUAUGAUUUGGGCUACACACGUGCUACAAUGGACAAUACAAAGGGCAGCUAAACCGCGAGGUCAUGCAAAUCCCAUAAAGUUGUUCUCAGUUCGGAUUGUAGUCUGCAACUCGACUACAUGAAGCUGGAAUCGCUAGUAAUCGUAGAUCAGCAUGCUACGGUGAAUACGUUCCCGGGUCU
rnacentral:rRNA from 1 species